rnacentral:rRNA from 1 species
ACUCCUACGGGAGGCAGCAGUGGGGAAUAUUGCACAAUGGGGAAACCCUGAUGCAGCCAUGCCGCGUGUGUGAAGAAGGCCUUCGGUUGUAAAGCACUUUCAGUAGGGAGGAAGGUAGUGUAGUUAACACCUGCAUUAUUUGACGUUACCUACAGAAGAAGCACCGGCUAACUCCGUGCCAGCAGCCGCGGUAAUACGGAGGGGUGCGAGCGUUAAUCGGAAUUACUGGGCGUAAAGCGCAUGCAGGCGGCCUGUUAAGUCAGAUGUGAAAGCCCGGGGGCUUAACCUCGGAAUUGCAUUUGAAACUGGCAGGCUAGAGUCUUGUAGAGGGGGUAGAAUUUCAGGUGUAGCGGUGAAAUGCGUAGAGAUCUGAAGGAAUACCAGUGGCGAAGGCGGCCCCUGGACAAAGACUGACGCUCAGAUGCGAAAGCGUGGGGAGCGAAACAGGAUUAGAUACCCUGGUAGGAUAGCG